CGCGCGCGAUACCCACACACAAAGAAAGAGAGAGAGAGAGAGAGAGGGAGAGGGACAGAGUAAUCUCACUUUUCCUUCGCUCGAUCCUCCGUCAGCCUCUCCAAAGCCUUUGCUCUCGCCCUCCUGAAGGUGUGGCGUAUAUGAUACGGUAUCUCUCGAGCAGCGUUGCCGCGUCUCCCCUCUCUCUCUCUCUUUCUUUCUCCUUCCCUCCCUCCCUUCCUUCUACCUCCUUUCGCCGCGACGUACGGUGAAUGACAGCGAACAGGCAUAAGCGAGCGAACAAGAAGGAGUGAGAGCUAGAGCGCGUCGCUAGGCUCUGAGGGUGAGAGAGGGGAAGAGAGAGAGAGCGCGAACGCGGCCGAUCGUUUCGCAGUGCGGCUGGCGAGAGGAAAGGAGGGAGGGAAGGGAAGGGCGCCUCCCGACCGCGCGUGGGUGUGCGUGCCUGUGGGAUAGAUACACCGCUGCCGCCGUAGUCGACUGACAGCGCGCGGUAGGACGUGGGAGAGAGAGAGAGAGAGAGAGAGAGAGAGAGUGAGUGAGUGAGUGAGUGAGUGAGUGAGUGAGUGAGUGAGUGAGUAAGCGAGAGAGAAAGAAAGAAGCACACGCAGGAACCCGCGCGACGGACACGGUGGCGCGUCGCGCGUCUGGUUCGGCCGCCUGUUCCUUUCCUUUCGCUUUUGCGCGAGCGUGCGUGUGCUAAGCGCGAACGCGAGUGCUGAGUGAUCCUGAGCGCGAGUGGCAGUGCGGCCGCGAGUGCGAGCGUGUGUCCGACGGAGAGAAGCGCGUGACGCGAUAGCGUCUCGACGAGACAAAUGAUAGCGGACAGGACGUGGGGAUCGAUGUGACCGUGCCUGCUCGCCUGCCUUCCUCUGCCUGUGCCCGCUUGCCAUGGCUGAGGAGGAGCUGCUGGUCACCCUGAACCGCGGCGACACCGGCGGCGGCGCCGGGUUCGGCUUCUCGCUUCUCGGUAGCAACGCGGCCGGCGGUCUGCGCGGCCACCACGUCAUCUAUGACAUCGUCGAGAACUCGCCGGCGGCCCGGAGCGGCAAGGUCGAGGCCGGCGACGUAAUACUCAGGGUGAACGAAGUCGACGUCAACCGAUUCAGUACGAAGGAAGUGCUAAAAUGCCUGCGGCUCUCUUCAGAUCCUGUCACCCUGAAGCUGCGAAGAGAUCCAGCAGUGAAGGCGCAUGUUCGUCGCCUAUUGUCGCCCGGACAACCAACCAAUGAGGAGGAGUCCACUACGGAGUCUUCCAAGGAGAAUCCUCCUUCGCUGAAUAAGGAGGAUAAGGAGCUGGCGGAGGUGUCCUCCACAGGUUCGCCGACGCCGGUGACGAUGACGGCGGCGACGAGGAGCAACGGCUCAUGCAGCGAUGCCUCCGUCUCGUCGGAACUAGAGGCGCUCCUGCCGGCCGCCGUGGACCACUUCAAAGAGGAAGAGAGAUCUCAAUGGGAGCCUCUCGGCACGACUGGCGAGAAAUUCGUUCGGCAGAAGAACACACCUAGGUUCGAAGCGUACAUGAUGACCGGUGACCUGAUGCUCAACCUCUCUCGCACUCAGCAGAGCAGCAAUCUGCUACCGAAGCAGCAGCAACAACUGCAACAGCAGCAUCAGAAGAAAAUCGACUCCCUUAGGUACAAUCCCAACCACCACUCUUACACCGUCACCACCACAACCACCCACCACAACCACCACCAUCAUCAUCAUCAUCACCACCAGCACCACAAUUCGGUGCCCAGCAGCCCCAACGACAACACGUUGGCGCACCAUCAUCAUCACCAACAUCACCACUAUCACCAACGCGCUACUUACAAGUCCUCUAGCUCGGCUAGCACGUCGCCCGUGGGCACUGGUAGACGCGACGGGGUGCAGGGUACCCCAGGCUCACAUCAGAUCGACUCCAGCAACAAGAAUACCCCUUCGAGCUUCGGUUUCGUCCGAACCUCGCGGUCGGAGGAUCACUUGCAGUUCCAAAAAGACCCCUCCAUGAGCGCCGUGGAUAUCGACAUCGACGACGACGUCACCAGCAGCCUAAAUACCUUGCUGGACCCGCGGCCGGAGAUCGGUCUCAUGCCUAACGAGAGGAUCGUCUGGACGUAUAACGCGCCCGUCAGCUCGCCCGCCGCUUCCUGCUGCCAAAAUGGCGGCUCUUCCUCCUCUUCUUCUUCCUCCUCUUCAUCCUCUUCAUCAACCAGUCCUCAGCGUUCGCUGUCCCCUGCCUCCCCUACCUCCGUCUCGUCCUCCGUCAUGUCCUCCAACUCUGGCUCGCGCAGGUUCCCGCCGGCACAGACGGUUCCUGGAGUCUCCGGGGUUUCUGGCACCCCGGGCGGGCUUCUCCCAGCGAACGGCGACCUCAGCCAGUCGGAGGCUAUCAGCAACAUGUCAAGUCCGGACUAUAACGAUGAGGAGACCAUGGAUAUCCUCAGCGCGAGGGAUAUCAUGAUGGUGAGCGACCCCAGCGACAGCGACUCCACCAUUUUGGCGAGCGAACCACCCCAAAGGAGGCUGAAGACCAACAACCCCCAGGACAGUGGUGGCGGUGACCACAGAAUCGUGAUACAGGUAAAGGGCCCUGAUAAGGAUGCCGCUGCGCCGAGAAACACAAGUCCCAGACAGGCGAGAAGACGCGGCAAUCCUGGAAACGCGGAACUGACGCCUCCUCCUGUCGCUGCACAGAAUCUGCAGCGAACACAAACAGCGACGGCGCCGGGGGUCACGACGGGGUCGAUGGCACCAGAACACGUGGGUUACCAGGAGCUGAAGGAGUGCGAGGACGAUAAAGAAGCUUCGACGGGCUUGUGCGACGAGCAGAAAGGACACGGCGGAGUGUCGCCGCCGCAAUCGGCCGACGAGGAAAGCGACAUCGAAAGCCUGCACAGCUUCCACUACAGUCCGAAGGCGGUGGACCUACCGUCAGCCGUACGGCUAGCCAAGCGUCUCUACUCCCUGGAUGGUUUCAAAAAGUCCGAUGUCUCCAGGCAUCUAAGCAAAAACAACGACUUCAGCAGAGCCGUAGCUGAGGAAUACCUGCGUUAUUUUAACUUCGAGUGCGACACACUGGAUGUGGCUCUCCGGAAAUUUCUCGCUCAGUUUUCGCUCACGGGAGAGACCCAGGAGAGAGAGCGCGUCUUAGUACAUUUCUCCAAGAGGUUUUUAGACUGCAACCCCGGCACCUUUAAUUCUCAGGAUGCCGUUCACACUUUGACGUGCGCGAUAAUGUUGCUCAACACGGAUCUGCACGGUCAGAACAUCGGCAGGAAGAUGUCGUGCUCGGAGUUCGUGGAGAACCUGUCGGAGCUUAACGACGGCGACAAUUUCCCGCGGGAGGUGCUCAAACAACUUUAUAACGCUAUCAAGUCUUUUCCUCUCGAAUGGGCCCUGGACGAAGAAGGAGAUGAAACGACGUCUCAGGUGAUCCAGCAAGGCGACGGGCCGGCGAUCGCUGGCACCGGAAAUCCAUUUCUCGACGUGCCAAAUGUCACGGGUGCCACGGAGUUCAAAAAGGGUUACGUCAUGCGAAAAUGCUGCUACGAUUCCAACGGCAAAAAGACUCCGUUUGGCAAACGCGGAUGGAAAAUGUAUUACUGCACGCUUCGGGAGCUGGUGCUGUAUCUGCACAAGGAUGAGCACGGUUUCCGCAACGAUAGUUUGCACAACGCGAUACGCAUCCAUCACGCGCUUGCCACCAAGGCGUCCGACUACACGAAGAAACAGCACGUCUUCCGUCUGCAAACCGCUGAUCAGGCCGAGUACCUCUUCCAGACCAGUGACUCGAAGGAGUUACAAUCGUGGAUCGACACUAUCAACUUCGUGUGCGCGAGCUUCUCGUGUCAGCCUUUAGCCGGUGCUGUGGGCUCGCAGCGCAAGUUUCAACGGCCGUUGCUGCCUUGCAGCCAUACUAAACUGGAUUCCGUGAAGAGAGCAGUUGCGGGACCACGAGGACAGGGUCAACAGGUUGGAGGCGGAGUUGGAUGAGCACAGGAGGCACCCACCGGAGAGGAGUGCCAAAGCCCUAACUGUACAGAAUUAUAAGGAAAAGGACGCGUAUCUUCAUCACGAGUUGAAACGAUACAAGACGUAUGCAUACCUUCUGCGUUCUCGGCUGGCGUUCAGUGAGGUGGAAUCUUCCUCGCUGGUGGAGAGCAGCAUUGGUGAGGUAGACGAGACUGGCGGUUUAGGUGGGCCUCUAGUAAACAUCACGGCGACUGAAAUGGGAGGUGGCGGUGGCGGCAUUGGCAGCAUUGGCAG
rnacentral:misc_RNA from 1 species